rnacentral:misc_RNA from 1 species
GUGAAUCAUCAAAUUUUUGAACGCAAAUUGCACUUUCUGGUAUUCCGGAAAGUAUGCCUGUUUGAGGGUCAGUUAAAUAAAAAUCGGUGUUGUUGCUGCCUUUCAUGGUGACGCGUCGGAUUUGAGUCGUCUUACCUUCGGUUAAGGGACUUAAAAUUUUUGCAUGAUUUUCGAACGUAUUUAAAUCGUUAAGGUAGAUUGAAGAUUUCGAGGUCUAAUAGGUUGCG